AGAUUUGCAAUGCUACUAUUUAAGAGAGCAAGAAUUGAUAUAUAAUAUUAAGAAAAAAAUGGAGUGUUUGUGAUGAUAGUCCUAGGGAGGGGGUUACAAAAUAAGCUCGUGCAUUGUUUGAGGAUACACAGUGCCAACUCUUGUCAUUAAACAUGGAGGCCCCAUUAAGGAGGGCAUGUGAUCUGAUGAGCACUGGAUGUUAUGCAACUAAUGAAUCACUGAACACUACAUCAAAAACUAAUGAUGUACUAUAUGUUGGCUAAUUGAAUUUAAAUUUUAAAAAUAAAUAAACAUGGAAGCCCCCUAAAGUAGAACAAAUUUAGAUAUGAUUUUUUUUUAAAGAUAAAUCUUCCAUUUUAAAUAAUUUUUUGAUGAUACAAGUAAUGUGUAGGUGAUCAAUUUAACUUAAAUGCCAGAAAUAUAAGGAAGUCUAUAAAGAUUCUAUACUCCCACCCUUUAGCAAUACAACAUUAAUUUUAUAGUAUAUAGGACUUUUUCCUUUUGGCAAGCAUUUUAGAUUUCUGAAACAAUUCAGCUUAUUCUGUAUUGCUGUUUUUCCUUAAACUUGUCUCACGAGCAUUGUUCACUUUAACUCUGCCUCUAAAAAUGUUUGUCCCAUCCUAGAACUCUUAGUCUUUUUCGAAUAUUUAUGAUUAUAAAUAAUGCUGUAUUGAACAUCUUUCUUUGUGUUGUCUUUUCUUCUUUUCUGAUAAUCACUAUAGUGUUGCAUAAUUUCUGAAAGUGUGAUUACUAGGUCAAAUAGUAGCAUAAUAUAAAAUGCCUGACUCAGCAAGUACAAUUCCUUGCUAAUGUUUUUCAACCUUGUUCAUUUGUAAGCAAAAGUGUCAAAAUUUGAAGGGAAAUACUAAAAUUUGCUUUGAUUAAAUCCAUACUUUAAAAUUGUUAUGCUAGUGGAAGCUGAAAUGGAAGUUGAUUAAGUUGGGGGGGAAAUAGGAUGUGACAUUUUAAUAAUUGAUACAGGUCACUUUAGUGCCUCUGAUUAGCAUGACAUUGAUAUGAUAUGGUUUAGUAGUAGAAUUUGGCAGAAGGAGCUGCUAUAAAUAAAGAACAUUGUAUGUCAGGCCUGAAAAAAGCUUUGUUUUCCCAUUUAUUUAAAAAAAUUCUUGGAAAAAAAUUGUAAAAAUAAAAGAAUUCUUGGGGCUCCUGGGUAGCUCAGUCGGUUGAGCAUCUGACUCUUGGUCUCAGCUCAGGUCUUGAUCUCAGGCUUGUGAGUUCAAGCCCCUCAUUGGGCUCCAAGCUGGGUGUGGAGCUUCCUUAAAAAAUAAAAUAAAAUGAAAUAAUAAAAGAAAAGAAUUCUUAUGACUUGGCAUCCUGUCUCUGAACUGCAGGAUACCAAACACAUACCCUCACCAGUCCCUAAACCUAACCCGAACCCAAACCUGAACCCUAGAUCUGAGGGGAAAAAAAAAGGAAAAUGUGGUAUAUUUAUACGAUGGACUAUACUCAGCAAUAAAAAAGUACGAGAUCUUGGCACUUACAACAACAGGGAUGGAGCUAGAAAAAAUUAUCUCAGGUUAAUAAAACAUUUAAAAUUCUGUGAAAAUUAAAUGAAAAACAGUAACUUAAAAAAGAAUGUAUUUCUUCAGGUCAAAAUACUUUAACGUUACAAAAAGCUAACAGAGCAGAUACACUUUAUGAUACAAUUCUCAGAUUCUCAUGCUAUCCCUAAACAUAAAAGCACUAUAUUGCUUUUUUCAAGUUUAAAUUUUAAGACAUCUUGUUGGCAAGAUGGAAAAAUUAAAUACUGAAUAUACCAUUUAUAUUCAUAUUAUUCUGAGCCAGAAUGCAUGUUAACAUAGAGCUGGUUGAAAUCUGACCUCUUGGGGGAAAAUGGUAGGGAUGGGGGGAUGGCGUUCUAAGAAAUUAGUAAUCUGAACAAGAUUGUUAGUGGUUGUUUAGCUUACUUAGGGAAGCACAUGGUUUUUGAGAGCCUUUAAAAGCACUCUAGCAGCAUACAUUUUUUAUAUAACCUCCUAACUAUAAGUGAGUCUAUCUAUUUCAUAAAGCAACUCAUGUACGAUCCUAGGGGUAGUGUUUGAUCUAGCAGUUUUAUACCCUUCAUGUGCUCUAUCAUUCUAAUUAUUGGUGGCUUUGCCCUACUUCCAUUAAAAAAUAAUAAAAUAUAGCAACAGCCCACAUAAACUAUAUUUUUUCUUGAAGCCAUUGAUGUGACUUCUAGUACUUAAGAGUAACAUAACUAUUGCCUUAAAGCAUUUUAUUUAAAUUGUCACCAGUUCAGAAUUAUUUCCUUCCCUCUGCAUUCCUGAACAGGGAAUUUUAUUGUAAUGAUCUGGGAUUCUGAAAUUUCUAUGUGAAUUAUUUGAAGGUAUAAUAUGUUAUGACAUGCAGUGGAGUCUGAUUCUUUCCUUGAGCUAAUAGUGAAACUAGAUGUUUGAAAAUGUUAUAUAUAUUAUAUAUUCAAAAGGUAAAGUAGAAAAAACAGGAAAAAAAUGUUCCCACUAAGAUCUCCUCUUUAAAAAAAAAUAGUUCUUGAAACCUUAUUUUAGGAUCUCGUUUUUAUCUGGGAGAUCAAGGAUUUCCUUUGGAAACCCACUUCUCCAGUGGCCUUUCCACCCUAACCCAUCAACGUCAAAAUUAUUUGUGCAUCUCAGCGGCAGUAUGCGAAGGAUGUUUUCACGUUUAACAUCUAUCCAUAAGACCCAUAGCUGUUCUUUGUACCUUGAGGGGAUACAUCAUUCAUCCAGAAUGUGAAAUGGUCAAUGAAUGCUUUUUAAGAGCUCAUAAUAAAUAUGUUUAAUUGAAUUAAGGGGAAGAAAAAAGCACAGCUUUUUGAGAUAAGAUUAUUCUGGUUUUAAAAAAAAAUAGUAUGUAAUUUGAGAGAUAAUAAUUUUUUUCCCCGCAGACCACAUUCUAAAAAAGGUCUGUGAUCUGAAAGCAGGCUUCUUUCUAGAGAUUGGCCACAUGGGUCCCCCCAAAAAACCUUGGUGGACUGUAAAAGGGAUUAUAUCAGAUAUACAAAAUAUCUGAGACUCUAAAUUUUAAGAAAUUUGAAAAAGUCUUAAAAUUCAAAUUUGAAAAAACUUACAACAAAAGUUAAUACAUAUUUAAUUAAAUAUCUUUGAAAUUUAACAUCGUAACAACUUCAUGGUCAAUUUAGUCUUUUUUUUUAAGAUUUUAUUAUUUAUUUGACAGAGAGAGACACAGCGAGAGAGGGAACACAAGCAGGGGGAGUGGGAGAGGGAGAAGCAGGCUUCCUGCGGAGCAGGGAGCCUGAUGUGGGGCUCGAUCCCAGGACCCCGGGAGCAUGACCUGAGCCGAAGGCAGACGCUUAAUGACUGAGCCACCCAGGCGCUCCGUCAAUUUAGUCUUCAUAAAUUUUUCAGUUCAUUUGCAAACAACGUUUAGGUCUUAUUUUCUCAUUCUGCACAGUUUCUGAAUAUAUACAGUGACUGCUGAGAAAUAAGAGCCAAUCGUAAACUAAAUGUGUGGCUUCUUGCCAAAUAAUUUUAAAAGCAAAAUUAUAACUUUUCUUCCAGAAAAAUUCUAGUUUCUAUGGUGUAUUGUUAUGUUUUAUUAUUUGUGCACACAUAUGGGGUAAGGCCACUGGUAAUAAGAAUAAUUAGGGCCCAUGGAGGACUUGAAACUGAGAUGGCAUCAAAAGCCACCCCUGAGAGUGACCCCUGGCCAGAGAUAGAUGUCCACUCUCAAUUAUUCAUAUCCAUGCUUUUCUUUAUUAUCUUGUAUGGUAACUAAGUAGGAGCAGUUUGAAAGAGCAGUAUUCCCUAAUGUUAUUUAUGUUCACUAAUCGUACUUGGAGUAUAAUUACAAGAAUAUGGGGAAAGUCGGCAUGGAAUAUUUGAAAUGUAUGGGGCUUAAACUAUAUUAAAGUAAGUCAGUAAAAAAAUGACUCAUUGUUUUAACCCCAAAUUUGUUUGCUUUUGUAAGUACUGCUAUAGCUGCUUCUUUCACUAUAAAAUCUGUUAUGAAUAGGAUAAAUAAUAACAUUGGAAACCAUCUUUCUCUGACAGUUUCUUUAAAAUCUGAAGCUAUAAUCAUAUUUCCACCGUUUUCGAGAUAUUAAAUGUAAUGAUUCAUUUUAUCAUAUUAAGACGAUUCACCUAAAAUGAGAAAUAGUGGUAUGUGGAAAUGUUGAACAGAAAACUCUAGCUCUGCUUCAUUUUUUCCACUUCUUUGUUAAUGCUUUUUAGAAAUCACUGUUUUGCUCUCCUGGGGAUCCCUUCACUGGAACGGAGACAUUUAAGUGAUUCCUAAACUACCAUAGACCCUAAGAUGUAAUAAACAUGAAUCCUACAGCUUUUGUAGAUUCUCUGCAUUCAUAGGAUUAGCCUUUCUAGUAGAAGAGAAACUACGCAUCUUUGUGGAUGUUAGCAAAAUCCUUUGAUUUUGAAACCUACUCCAGGCAGUUAAUUUAGUGGGAAAGUUAUAGUGUCUGAAUUGCUAUGAAUGCAGAAUGUUCAUGAAUUGUGGGAGGUGUCCUGCAAUUGCAUCCAGAGCUCUAAAGUGCAGAAGUAAAACGGCCAGUAAUUUCCAAGCAACACAGAGCAGGGCAUGAAAGAACAUUUUAGCUGCAAUUGCCUUCCUCAGUACCACACUGCUCACUGUUAUUAAAGCCAUAGGUCUCUGGCUACUGUCACAAGUAGGCAAUAGUUGAUCAAAACCAACUUGUACUGACUAAUAAAUCUUUCCACUGUAUUCAGUUUUUUAAAAAAAGAAAAAAAUAAUAAGUCCUCUUUUAUGGGCCUGCAUUUUUCUUGGACCAGAUCCAGUUGUUGUUACUGGAAGUGGGGCUUGUCUGACUCUUGCUGUGUGCCGGGGGGGUGGAGGUGGAGGGGUGGGGGGGUUGGGGUGCCCUGCAGGCAGUGGCAGGGUAGGAGGGAGCUAUAGGGCAGGGUCCUGGUGGCUUCUACUCUGGUGCCUGCCAAUUUCUCAGCCUCCAGAUAUUGAACUCCUGUCCCCUAAAGGUGUUUGUUCACAUCUUUAUAGCUUCGCAGGAGUGAUUUAGUCACUUUGCUGCUGUUUUGGGAAAGGGUCAGGACAGCUUUCUUUUCUUCAUUGUAUCCUUUGAGUAAAACUAAGGAUGACACAUAAUUGUAAUCAUGUUCCUUUCUAACUAUCAUACGCAGAUUUUAGUAUGAUCUUUUAUUAGCCUUACGACAUCACUGGGAGGUGGACAGUGGGACAGAUAUUAUCCUCAUUUUAGGCAUGGGUAUCUAAACAUCUUUCGUAGUGACACAGCUAGAGAUCACAUUUAUAACCUAGUCUUUUGUCUGUCUAGAGAGAAAGAAAUUAUGGCCUAAUCAGUCCCUUUGUGGGGAGACAAAAAGUAGCCUUAUAUGAAAAAUCUCAAGUAAAGCCUACAGACUCCAUAGGAAAUGCUGGGAGGGCAAAGUUGGGAUCUAAUCCCACAGUUCUCUAGGGAACAGGAGUUAUAGCUUCAAUUUACUUCUGUUACCAUGGGGAUUCCUAAUGGAACAGUAAAUACAGACCAUCCUGUAUCUGGGAAUGGAGACAUAGAAGAAUUUCACAUUCCAGAGUGAUCCGGAAUGUCCUCUUCUACAGUGAUGAGCAUUCCCUUCUUAUCUGUUUAAGGAUUUCUCAGCACUCCCAUGCUUCCCCAUCAGCGGGGUUGUGUGCGCACGCGCGCACACACACACACACACACACACACGGGAUCACUUCUGUUAUUUCUGUUUCCCCUUAAGAUUGGUCUCUGAGGAAAGACAUUCUCCAAGGGUAACUCUUCAUUCACAGUUGGACAGGUUGCAACAAAACUUCCCUUUCACUCUGCUUGAAAGAGAUGGGGAAGGUAUCACAGAAUGGUAACAUUUUAUCUUGGAUUUGAAGGAGGAGUACAGACGCUAACCAGCCCAUGUCUCAGUAUUUUCAAGUCUUCCCCUCCUUCUGCCAAUCUAAUGUAUCUUCAUGUUAUUAUAACUACAGAAAACAGUUUUCAUUUUCUGUAACAUCUCUGUGAGGUAGACAGUAGGAUAGAUAUUAUCCCCGGGGCAUCCAUUUUACCAGAAGGAAUAGGAUAAUUAUUAGGAUAUUCAACAAGAAAAAUGUUAAUUUGGAAUUCUGUUUAAAAAAAAAAUCUGCUCCAGCUUAUAUACACCUAACUUCUCUCUGGAGCUUAUUGCUGCUCCUGUUUUAUUUCAUACUCCCAAUUCUGGAAGCCUCUCUUCCUGCUUUUCUUUAGGACCAUUAUAUGGCAUCUUUCAAGGUUCCUUUUUUAGACUCUCUUUCUAAUAUUGAAAUUGCAACAUCUGAAUUUUUAAAAUGUAUCAGACUUUAUUAGUGAAGAACACAUAGCAUUCCCUCAUGUUAUCCUACUAAGUACUAAUUGCAAUCUCCUAUCUUGCUCUCCAGCCCGUUCCUCAAUUAGAUUUGGGGAUAUUGAAGUAGUUUUCUGGGACAUCUCAAAAAUGAUCAGGAGGCACAGAUGCCAUUUCCAGCAGAUCCACCCCUUGGCUUUUAGUUAUGGGCUUAGUUUCAGGGAUAAAACUUUCCCUUCCAAGAGCUCCUGCCGGUACAGAGUCUAAGGACCCGCUAUAAAACUUGCCUGACACACAUCUUUAUGUUAUUUCAUUAACUUAAUGGAAUAGACAUCAUUCAUGACAAUCUUUCUCCUUAUCUAUAUUAUAAAAAUACUAAGUUUCUUAUAGUACCAUUAUGCCAGGAUCUUCAUGUGUCUGAGACCGGAAUUUAAAUCUUUGUAUCAUUAAUGUCUAACACAGUGACUGAGGAAUACCAAGCAUCCAACAAAUAUUGAUUGAAGAAAAUAAAUACAUGAGUUAGUGCACACAUGCAUGUAUGCAUACAUGAAUGAAUGAAUAAAAACAUAAUUCCUCUGGUAUUUUCUUCUCUAACUUUCAUAUCUUCAUUGCCCCCUCACUGGCUGCUUCUGUUCACAUCGUCCCCAUCUUAAAUCAGCCUGCUUCUCUUCCUUAAAUCAAUGACAUAUCUUUUCUUCCAGUCAUCCACAAACUUUUAAAAAGUGUAGUCUAACUUCCUGCCUCCACUUUCUUACUUCCUGUUUACUUUUUAAUCACUCCUGUUUCUGUCUGCUCCACACCACUGAAAUGGCAAUCCUGAGAAUAAAGUAUCUUAAUCACUAAGUUCCCUGACCUCUAUUGAAUCGCUUUCAAACAAAAUCUGUGCUUUUAUGACCUUGUUGAACACUCAGUCAUUAUUAAAAUUCUACUGGAGUGGCUCCUAAGAUACUAUUUUUUCCUAGUUCUCAAACAUUUGAUUUUCUUUUGUUUUUGUUUACUGAUCUUAUUUCUUUG